UACGAAGGGGGCUAGCGUUGUUCGGAAUUAUUGGGCGUAAAGAGCUCGUAGGCGGUGUGUCGCGUCGGCCGUGAAAACCUGCAGCUUAACUGUGGGCUUGCGGUCGAUACGGGCAUCACUGGAGUUCGGCAGGGGAGACUGGAAUUCCUGGUGUAGCGGUGAAAUGCGCAGAUAUCAGGAGGAACACCGGUGGCGAAGGCGGGUCUCUGGGCCGAUACUGACGCUGAGGAGCGAAAGCGUGGGGAGCGAACAGG
rnacentral:rRNA from 1 species